CACAAAUUUACUCAGAAGUCCAAUCUAUCUGAAAGUCCAUGCUUGUCAGAUGUAUAUGUGCUGAAAGAAGAAAACAACUUCUCUGCUAUGUACUGAGUGUGAAGCUGAUGAGGUUUUGUGCAAAUCAGAGGAUAACUGGAGAAGAGGAUCCAGUGCUCUCCUGUGUGCAUUGAGGGAGGAACAGCCAUAAUUCACAGCCCCAUCCCUUUUAAGAGGCAGGAAUCGGAUGCCUCAGUCAAGAUGUGCAUAUGAGAUGAUCUUGCAGCACUUUGACAGCUCCAAACCAAACUGGCAUGAGCUGAUAGUGCAUGAGUCAAGGAGGAAGGGACGUCAGAAGAAAUGGGGAAAUACUGUGAGGAAGAAGAAGGAAAGGCAAGUGUAAUAGAAGGAGGCAAGGGCAAUGUGCUGAGUGUGGUAAAAGUAUUGGGGAGGUGCCUAGAAGGUCCAGAUAUAAAAUUACAAAUAAGGAGGCUUCCUGUUGUGCUCUUUGUGGAGGAAAUCUCAAUCUCUCUGAAUCACUCUUGAUAAAAUCAGAUAAGAGGAAAAGCUAUGCACUCACCUGAACAGCAAAGCAUUGUACUUUCACAUGGAACUUUAGGUAGAGUAAGAUUUAUGUAAGCAAAGCUGUAUUAAAUUUAAAACCAGUUUCAUAUAUACUUUAGGAGUUUUUUUGACAGUUGAAGUGCAGACUAAAAAUGUGAUUUACUGUUGCAGAGGGGAAAUGAGAAUGAUGGAUGAGUGUGUGAGCAAUGUCCAUGAUGUACAGUCCACCAGGCUGACGUGUAGGACAAAGCAAAGUCAUUCAGAUUUUAUUUUGUAGGAAAAAAGAAUGUGUUAUGUGAAAAAUACGUGUUAUUUUAGUUUCAGGGGCAGGGUUGCUACCCAGUAAAAAGGAACUUCAAAGGGGCCUGAGUGUGGGACCAUGGUUUGCCAUUGUACAUUGUACAUUGUACAUUGUACAUUGUACCUUGUUCAGAAAGUGCUGAUGUUGACAGGUACAAAUUUUCAAGACAAAAAUGCAAAAAAACCCUGGACUGCCAGUUUGACUAAGUGCAUAUUAUUGUUACAAUGUUUGUUAGAAUUUGAUGACUGACUCAGAAUAAAACCUUACAGAUCCAA